AACCCGGUGGUGUAAUUGGCAACACAGAAGGUUUUGGACCUUCCAUUCCAGGUUCAAGUCCUGGCCGGGUUG
rnacentral:tRNA from 1 species